rnacentral:rRNA from 1 species
CAGGACUAUUACAAAGUUCUGGAGGUCGAUUACGAUGCAUCUGACGACAACAUCAAACUGAAUUAUAGAAGAUUAGCGUUGAAGUGGCACCCCGACAAGCAUAAGGGCGAGGAUGAUGUCACAGCUAAAUUUCAGGAGAUCAACGAGGCUUACAAAAUUUUAAGUGAUCCAAUUACACGGCUUGAGUACGACUUUUCUGGCUGUUACGAGGUCAAUCAAUAUACUGCACGUGAGUACCUUUCAAGAUUUAAGGGAAUGAUACUUACCUGCAAUGGCCUUGGCAUAGAGCAUUCUUCAAAAUGGGCGCGACACUUGAGGGAAUGGGAGCCCCAUUGA